rfam:Aspergillus flavus NRRL3357 scf_1106286418772 genomic scaffold, whole genome shotgun sequence.
GGUUGUGUAGUGUAAUGGUUAUCACAGCGGAUUCUGAUUCCGCUAAUCCCGGUUCGAUCCCGGGCACGACCU